rnacentral:rRNA from 1 species
UACGUAGGGGGCAAGCGUUAUCCGGAAUCACUGGGCGUAAAGGGUGCGUAGGCGGCCUGUCAAGUCAGAGGUGAAAGGCAAUGGCUUAACCAUUGUAAGCCUUUGAAACUGAUGGGCUUGAGUGCAGGAGAGGUAAGUGGAAUUCCUAGUGUAGCGGUGAAAUGCGUAGAUAUUAGGAGGAACACCAGUGGCGAAGGCGACUUACUGGACUGUAACUGACGCUGAGGCACGAAAGCGUGGGGAGCGAACAGG